AGGAUUUGAAACAAAGAGCAAAGAAAGAAGAGAGAGACUCGUUUCUCUCAGUGCUCAGCUAAAAAGGAUAGGAGUGCAGCCAGAAUGCUCUUUGCUUCUGAGCACAUGCGCUGCAGCAGGAGUCAUCCUGGCUGCUUGGCAGGGGACAGCCUACAACAGCAGUGCCUGCAAGGACUGGAUUUUCUUCAUGCAAACGAUGUGAUCCAUCGAGACGUGAAGAGUGACAACAUCCUUCUCAGAACGGACGGUUCUGUCAAACUGGCUGAUUUUGGCCUCGCUACUCAGCUCAGCCCUGAGCAGAGCAGACGGUGCUCGGUAACCGGGACUCCUUGGUGGAUGGCGCCUGAAGUGGUGACAGGUCAACCAUAUGGCCC